rnacentral:rRNA from 1 species
AGCGAACGCUGGCGGCAGGCUUAACACAUGCAAGUCGAGCGGGCACCUUCGGGUGUCAGCGGCAGACGGGUGAGUAACACGUGGGGACGUACCCUUCGGUUCGGAAUAACGCUGGGAAACUAGCGCUAAUACCGGAUACGCCCUUAUGGGGAAAGGUUUACUGCCGAAGGAUCGGCCCGCGUCUGAUUAGCUAGUUGGUGGGGUAACGGCCUACCAAGGCGACGAUCAGUAGCUGGUCUGAGAGGAUGAUCAGCCACACUGGGACUGAGACACGGCCCAGACUCCUACGGGAGGCAGCAGUGGGGAAUAUUGGACAAUGGGCGCAAGCCUGAUCCAGCCAUGCCGCGUGAGUGAUGAAGGCCUUAGGGUUGUAAAGCUCUUUUGUCCGGGACGAUAAUGACGGUACCGGAAGAAUAAGCCCCGGCUAACUUCGUG